UACAGAGGGGGGCGAGCGUUAUUCGGAAUUAUUGGGCGUAAAGGGCGCGUAGGCGGCCUUUCAAGUGACGGGUGAAAUCCCUCGGCUUAACCGAGGAACUGCCUGUCAGACUGGAAGGCUUGAGACCGGGAGAGGUGAGUGGAAUUCCCAGUGUAGCGGUGAAAUGCGUAGAUAUUGGGAGGAACACCAGUGGCGAAGGCGGCUCACUGGACCGGUACUGACGCUGAGGCGCGAAAGCGUGGGGAGCAAACAGG
rnacentral:rRNA from 1 species